rnacentral:rRNA from 1 species
UACGUAGGGGGCAAGCGUUGUCCGGAAUCAUUGGGCGUAAAGAGCGCGUAGGCGGCCAGAUAAGUCCGGUGUGAAAGUCCCAGGCUCAACCUGGGAAUGCCGUCGGAAACUGUCUGGCUAGAGUCCGGAAGGGGCCAGUGGAAUUCCCGGUGUAGCGGUGAAAUGCGCAGAUAUCGGGAGGAACACCAAUGGCGAAGGCAGCUGGCUGGGACGGUACUGACGCUGAGGCGCGAAAGCGUGGGGAGCGAACAGG